CUGACCUAACAAGCCGAUUUCAACUAGUCAGUAAAUCGGAAACUUUACAGCACUGCUACAGAAAGGAAAAACUUUUUGUUCAAUCAGAUCGCACAGGUGGAUAAUGGAAUUCCAGAAACAGUACAAUUCCAAUUACAAUUUAGGAACUGCACCUGACCGUGUAAAAUUUUGCAUAUGCGAGCGUAGUCGUGAAAAUGUGAUUGUCUGCAGCCGCUGCAAACAGUCAUUUGUGGGCCGCAUUUCGCAACGUUGUCCAAAACACCCCGAAGUGACAUUUCUUAUGGACGCCCGUCAAUGCGCUUUCUGCGGUGCCCAUGCUAAUUUUUUGCAAGUAUCCGAGACCAAGCGCUGAAAUGGGAUAUUCUCAAAAACAGAGACUUCGUUGACGAAUCUGCUAUUACAUAAACAUUAUUAUGUAUACAAAAGUGCCAAUAAGUAAAUAAACCGAAAAUUGUUGUUAAA